rfam:Gossypium arboreum cultivar AKA8401 contig_5473_3, whole genome shotgun sequence.
UUGUAAAAAUUUCAUCCAUUUUUGUUGUUAAAAAUUAAAUUAACAGAAUAACCAAAUAGUUACAUAUAAUGUGCCACGUGUACCUCACUUUGAUGUAUAAGGCUCAGUUUUUAACAGUACAAAUGGACAAAAUUUUUAAUA